rfam:Harpegnathos saltator strain R22 G/1 HarSal_1.0_1.contig6236, whole genome shotgun sequence.
GUACUUGCAUCGGCAGUACAUAUACUAAAAUUGGAACGAUACAGAGAAGAUUAACAUGGCCCCUGCGCAAGGAUGACAUACAAGGAUGACAUUCUUAUAUCACAUCU